rnacentral:rRNA from 1 species
GUGUCAGCAGCCGCGCGGUAAAACGUAGGGAGCGAGCGUUGUUCGGAAUCAUUGGGCGUAAAGAGCGCGUAGGCGGCUUGGCAAGUCCGUUGUGAAAUCUCACAGCUUAACUGUGAAACUGCGACGGAAACUGCCUCGCUAGAGUGCGGGAGAGGAGAGUGGAAUUCCCAGUGUAGAGGUGAAAUUCGUAGAUAUUGGGGGGAACACCGGUGGCGAAGGCGGCUCUCUGGACCGCAACUGACGCUGAGGCGCGAAAGCUAGGGGAGCAAACGGGAUUAGAUACCCCGGUAGUCCUAGCCGUAAACGAUGGGCACUAGGUGUAGGAGGUAUUGACCCCUUCUGUGCCGCAGCUAACGCAUUAAGUGCCCCGCCUGGGGAGUACGGUCGCAAGACUAAAACUCAAAGGAAUUGACGGGGGCCCGCACAAGCGGUGGAGCAUGUGGUUUAAUUCGACGCAACGCGAAGAACCUUACCUGGGUUUGACAUCCCGCGACCGCAACAGAGAUGUUGCUUUCCUUCGGGACGCGGAGACAGGUGCUGCAUGGCUGUCGUCAGCUCGUGUCGUGAGAUGUUGGGUUAAGUCCCGCAACGAGCGCAACCCAUGCCCUUAGUUGCCAGCGGUUCGGCCGGGAACUCUAAGGGAACUGCCGGUGACAAACCGGAGGAAGGUGUGGAUGACGUCAAGUCCUCAUGGCCUUUAUGCCCAGGGCUACACACGUGCUACAAUGGCCGGUACAAAGGGUCGCAAAUCCGCGAGGAGAAGCCAAUCCCAAAAAGCCGGUCUCAGUUCAGAUUGCAGGCUGCAACUCGCCUGCAUGAAGUCGGAAUCGCUAGUAAUCCCGGAUCAGCAUGCCGGGGUGAAUACGUUCCCGGGCCUUGUACACACCGCCCGUCACACCACGAAAGCCGGUUGUACCAGAAGUCGCUGGGCCAACCCGCAAGGGAGGCAGUGCCGAAGUAUGAUCGUGAUUGGGGUGAAGUCGUAACAAGUAACAAUCCAUAUGACUAG